GCGGUUGUGCCCCGUUACGUGGGGAUGGGGAGAGGGGACGGAGGUCUGGGGGAAUGGCGCCUUCCCCUCCGGUAGAGACCGGAGGUUAUUACAGAGGACAGUGGCAUCUCCCCCUCAGGCAGAGACGGGGAGUGGGGUUCAGGGACACAGUGGCAUCUCCCCCUCAGGCGGAGGCCGGGAGAAGGUUCGUGGGGAAUAGCGCCUUCUCCUCAGGCAGAAAUCGGAAGAGUGUACGAAAGGGAAUGGCACCUUUGCCUCAGGAGGGAUAUUGCACAUAUCCACGAAGGAACUGAUGCAGGCAUGCACAGAUGCUCAGAAAAAUGCUAAGGAGGACGAAUUUUAAUGGAAGAGGGCUAGGAACACCGAGCCUGAACAGCUCCUUGCUCUUGAGGUUGGUGCCAUUACAUCUUCUUGGGCCAAGCUGGAUGAGGACAGAGUCCUGCUCCCAGGGCAAAAGUCCCCGCUCUGAGAAGUUGGACCCUUGUUUAAAGCAUCACUUUUUCAGCCACGGGUGAAAACACCGCAGAAAAGGAAAUUAUCACAUUAUCCCAUGGACAAAGAAACACUGAUGUGGGCCAUCCUGAUUUGUGAAGAGUUGGCUUUAUUUUAUGGUUGCAGAGCCUUACAUUUAAUAAAAACCACAAGAAUA